rnacentral:rRNA from 1 species
CCGCGGUAAUACGGGGGGAGCAAGCGUUGUUCGGAUUUACUGGGCGUAAAGGGCGCGUAGGCGGCCAGUGCAAGUCAGUUGUGAAAUCUCCGANCUUAACUCGGAAAGGUCAACUGAUACUGCUCGGCUANAGUGCGGAAGGGGCAACUGGAAUUCUUGGUGUAGCGGUGAAAUGCGUAGAUAUCAAGAGGAACACCUGCGGCGAANGCGGGUUGCUGGGCCGACACUGACGCUGAGGCGCGAAAGCUAGGGGAGCGAACGGGAUUANAUACCCCGGUAGUCCUAGCCUUAAACGAUGAAUGCUUGGUGUCUGGGGUUAUAUAGUCCCCGGGUGCCGUCGCUAACGCUUUAAGCAUUCCGCCUGGGGAGUACGGUCGCAAGACUGAAACUCAAAGG